rnacentral:lncRNA from 10 species
AAUGGGAAGUCCAGAAGAAGGAUUUUAGGUAGAAACCUCUAUUUUUUUCCUUUUAUCAGCUUUCUUUUAUCAGUAUAGCCAUAAAUAAUGAAAGAAGCAAUAGAACUAGAAUGUUCUAAAACCACAGCAGAUAAAAUAGGGGCACCUUUUACAAGACCACUUCACAGCUGCCAGGAUUUAUGCAAUCACUUUUCAGUUCCAACUACGGUCACAAGACACUGACAUAUGACCUAACACUAAUGUAGAAGGCAAUGCUUUCUUAGAAUAGCAAGUACUGUUUCAGAAGUGUGUAGGUCCCAGGAGUUCUAUAAUAAAACCUAAGACCUUUGCUUUUUGUACAACACUGAGAAACCUAAUUGCCCAUGUUUAUCCAUCUGAAUUCCUAUUUACACAGAAGAACUACUUGUCUGCAUUCAAAAUCAUGUAGAGCUUUGGUUACUAAAGAUUCUUUCUUGUAAAACAAGAUCAGUGGUUAGUUUUAAGGAACAUGACUAGAAAGCAUUCCAAAAGUAGAAAACUGUCAGAUCAUCUGAACUAACAGCAUACGAAAGAAGCAGAAGAGGAAUGAAGAACUUGGACAAGUUUUUUAGAUCUAUUUUCUGAUAUGUCUAGUAUUCCUGGUUUUAUCGAUACUCUAGUUAGAAGCAAGGUUUUAUUAUUUAACAGGGAAAUGUUUCCUUUUCCCCUAGAAAGAACGAAUGCCAUCAUCUGAUACCUACUUUAAAACACUCCUUUCCCAGAUCUUAAUUCAUCUAAAUGUCCCUUGGGGACUUCAAAAAUCAAUGCUGCUAAAACUAAGCUUAUCAUUUUUUUCCCCCAAGUUUAUUUCUCCCCAUCUACCCUGGUGGGUACAGUCUAAACUUAGGAGACAUCCCAGACUCCCUACUCUGAGGGUCCUCUGACUUCCAGAUCAAGAAGGCACUGCCAAUUCUAUGAUGUGCUUCAAAUCCUCCAAUGAUCCUCAUCUUCCCAAAGAGUUCUGCAAAUAUUGUGGGGCCCCCUCAAAAGACAGCUAAAGCAGAGUUUUAGGGUACAGAGGAAGGUGGUGGUUAU